UACGUCAGAAGAUAUACCUGGCAUAUCCAAAGUCGAUCAAGCAAAAAUGUCGAUAUUUGUCCGUAGGAAGUCCACAAGCCUUUUCUGAAGAUCUUGGCUUAGCAUUGAUCCAACUUGGACAGUCCUUGUCGGAUCCUCUUCGCUUAGGAGGAUCGAGACAAGUUGCUCAAUAGGUUCUUCUCUGCUUUCUUUCUCUCAAAGGUCCAACCCA
rnacentral:lncRNA from 1 species